AUCUGAAGAGGCUACUUCUCUGCACAUCAACUGAAAUUAAGAAGAUGUUUGAGAACAUCAAAAAUGACAGUCAAAAUACAGCAAUGGAAAAUAAGACUGCUGGUUGUCCAAGAGUGACAUUAACCCCAUCAUAAAUUACCUUCUUGAAAAACAAAAAAAAGACAGACUGAGAGGAAGGGUUUCAAUGAUGGCACAGACUCAAUUAUAGGUCUACCAGCUACCCCAACCAAAGUAGUUUCUGUAAAGAAAGGAGUACUUCCAACCCAGCACUGUUUCGUUAUACUGUGCAUAUGGCAGAAGUGGUAUAAGGAAAUAAUAUAAUUGACAGGUAUUGCUACUGAAAUAAAUUGUAGAUUCAAUAAACACCCUAGCCUAUAAUUAGGCUUUAUGAAUUUAAGUUUUAAAAAUUUAAUCUUCCAUUAUAUUGAAUGAAAAUUAAAUUUUAUUUAUAUACUAAGACAAUGAAUGAUUCAGUUUAAUAGCCCUGGUGUCGAAGACAUGGGAGGUGUAUAUAAUGUAUAAACUAUAAGACUGUCUGUCACAAUUCCUUGUGUACUCUGCUAUCACUAUUUCCAUCAAAUUUAAAUGAAACUUGGUAUACAGCAUCAAUAUGAAGUUGAUAUGCGCAUAUUUUCAGGACUUUCAAAUCCUAUUUAAUAUUAGCUCCCCUGAGCACAAAAUGCUCAAGGUGAGAUAUUGUUAUCACUCUGUGUUUGUCAUCGUCCAUCUUCAACAGUCUAAUAAAAUCACUGACAUGUUUGUUGCUGGGUCAUCUGAGUGAAAAACUAGGUUACUAGGUCAGUUAAUAGGAAAUCUUGUAAAUACUUAAGGCCACAUUGUCUACCUCAUCUUCAUAGGACUUUGUCAGAACAUUUGUCUCCUAAAACCUAGGUCAGGUUUCACCCUUUGAAACUUGGUUAUUUGUAGUCAAAAGCUAGAUCAUUAGGUCAAAUCAUAGAAAAACUUGUUAACUCUGUAGGGGCCACAUUUUCUUCUUGAUCUACAUAAAACUUCGCAAAAAUGUUUGUCUCUAUGAAAUCUAGGUCAGUUUCAAAACUUGAAUACCUGAGGUAUUAAACUAUGUUACUGGGACAAAUCACAGAAAAAACCUUUUUAACACUAUAUAGGCCAUAUUUUCCUCUUGAUCAUCAUAUAUUUUUUUCAUAAUAUUUAUCUCUGUGAAGUCUAGGUCAGUACCAAAUUGGGUUACAUGGGGUCAAAAACUAGGUCACUAGUUAAAACUUUGCCAGACUAUUUGUCUCUAUGAAAUCUAAGUAACUUUUGUAACUGGCUCACAUGACUUAGAAGCUAUGUCACUAGGUCAAAUCAUAGAAUAAUAUUGUUAACACUCUAGAGGUCACGUUUUUCAUUUGAUAUAUUCAUUAUAUAUUUUUAUCAGAA